rnacentral:rRNA from 1 species
GACGAACGCUGGCGGCGUGCUUAACACAUGCAAGUCGAGCGGAAAGGCCCCUUCGGGGGUACUCGAGCGGCGAACGGGUGAGUAACACGUGGGUAAUCAACCCCUGACAUCGGGAUACCCCGGGGAAACCCGGAUCAAUACCGAAUAAGGUGCGGAGUCGCUGGACGCCGUACCACAGGUAGCUUCGGCCUCCGGUCAGGGACGAGCCCGCGGCCCCUUAGCUUGUUGGCGGGGUAAUGGCCCGCAAAGGCGACGACGGGUAGCUGGUCUGAGAGGACGAUCAGCCACACUGGGACUGAGACACGGCCCAGAAUCCUACGGGAGGCAGCAGUGGGGAAUAUUGCGCAAUGGGCGAAAGCCUGACGCAGCAACGCCGCGUGCGGGAAGAAGGCUCUCGGGUCGUAAACCGCUUUCAGCAGGGACGAAGCUUCCGGGGUUAAUAGCCUACGGGGUGACGGUACCUGCAGAAGAAGCCCCGGCUAACUACGUGCCAGCCGCCGCCGUAAGAC